AUUCAGUCGACGAGUCCUAAAUACGACGAAAUGCGCAUCCUGGAU
rnacentral:hammerhead_ribozyme from 1 species